rnacentral:misc_RNA from 1 species
UCCGGCUUAUCAUCGGCAGUCGCCUUAGAGUUCCCACCAUCACGUGCUGGCAACAUACGACGAGGGUUGCGCUCGUUGCGGGACUUAACCCAACAUCUCACGACACGAGCUGACGACAACCAUGCACCACCUGUAUACGAGUGUCCAAAGAGUUCCCUAUUUCUAGGGCGUUCUCGCAUAUGUCAAGCCUUGGUAAGGUUCUUCGCGUUGCAUCGAAUUAAUCCGCAUGCUCCGCCGCUUGUGCGGGCCCCCGUCAAUUCCUUUGAGUUUCAGCCUUGCGGCCGUAGUCCCCAGGCGGGGUGCUUAGUGCGUUAGCGACGGCACCGGAGGGGUCGAUACCCCCGACACCUAGCACCCAUCGUUUACAGCGUGGACUAC